rfam:Parcubacteria bacterium C7867-004 C7867_00001, whole genome shotgun sequence.
GCCGGGAUAGCUCAGUUGGUAGAGCAGCGGCUUUGUAAUCCGCAGGUCGCCGGUUCAAGCCCGGCUCCCGGCU